CAGCUUAACACAUGCAAGUCGAGCGGGGAAGGUUGCUUCGGUAACUGACCUAGCGGCGGACGUGUGAGUAAUGCUUAGGAAUCUGCCAUUUAGUGGGGGACAACAUUCCGAAAGGAAUGCUAAUACCGCAUACGUCCUACGGGAGAAAGCAGGGGAUCUUCGGACCUUGCGCUAAAUGAUGAGCCUAAGUCGGAUUAGCUAGUUGGUGGGGUAAAGGCCUACCAAGGCGACGAUCUGUAGCGGGUCUGAGAGGAUGAUCCGCCACACUGGGACUGAGACACGGCCCAGACUCCUACGGGAGGCAGCAGUGGGGAAUAUUGGACAAUGGGCGGAAGCCUGAUCCAGCCAUGCCGCGUGUGUGAAGAAGGCCUUAUGGUUGUAAAGCACUUUAAGCGAGGAGGAGGCUACCAGUAUUAAUACUACUGGAUAGUGGACGUUACUCGCAGAAUAAGCACCGGCUAACUCUGUAGCCAGCAGCCGCGGUAAUACAGAGGGUGCGAGCGUUAAUCGGAUUUACUGGGCGUAAAGCGUGCGUAGGCGGCUUUUUAAGUCGGAUGUGAAAUCCCCGAGCUUAACUUGGGAAUUGCAUUCGAUACUGGGAAGCUAGAGUAUG
rnacentral:rRNA from 1 species